UGUGUGCUUCACCCAAUAAGUCGCUGAUGACACAAUGCGCCACAGCUGAGGUGCCAAGCUGCAGGAUGAGAGAGAUCGAGAGAGAGAAAGGAGGAAGAGAGCAUGUCCGAGGAGGCAGAAAUAUUGUAGAUCCUGUGUUCCCCUGUUCUCCAGAAUGGUGUUGCAGUGGAGCUGGAGUGAGUGAAGUGAAGGGCUCACACAGAUGAAGGGGGAGGAGGCGAGAAAGGCUUGGCUUUACUCCAGGUGGAGGAGAUGAGCUGGAUGACCAGGAGGACAUUGAAAGUGCUGCAAUGGGAACAUGUGUGUGUAGGCUUUGCCACAUGUGUAACUGGUAAACUGCUAAAAGACAGCUAAAGAAGGACAAAUUGAAAGUGCACAGCGGAAGUUGUCAGCCCACUUUGGACCCCAUUUUCAGAAAAAUCUGGCCUACUUGAAGGAGGGGGGGGAAACAUACUGUGGGUGAACUGCUAUGGUAAAUUGGUAAUAUGUGUGGCUGUGAGUAUGUGUUUCUUUCACAUGUGUCUAUUUUUGUACAGGACAAGGUGCAGCUACUUAAAAAAUGGGAAAUGCUGUUAUCACACUGCCGGUGUUUUUCUACUGUGCAUGCAUACAUCACCUCUUUCUUAGCUGUGUUGACAUUAUGAUUGAGUGACACCCUGUUGUCUGUUGUCUUUGUGCCAGCAAGGUAGUAGGGACAGAUAGGAAUUAAGGGACUGUUACAAGAGCAAUGAGGGCACAUAUUGUACUAUACACUUUGCAUGAUGCUUUGUGCAACCUAAUAUGCUGCCUGCUUGUUUAUCUACUACUUAUUUACACUGAUAUCACUUGGCAUCUGCUCCUGGGACUGUAUGCAUGUUUGUCUUUGUACACCAUGUGUGUGUCCAUGCACGUCUGUGAUUUCAAGUGCACCGGCUCCCAGUGGCUAUGUGGGUGUGCGGUGGGUAGCUUGGAGUUACAUUAAUAGCCAAAGUGCGGGCAGGCAGGGCGGGAGGGAGGCCAUAGACAGGAAAGGAAAAUACAGUUUGCUAGUCGCCCACUACUUCCUGUGUGUCUCCUACACACAGCCCACGGACCAGAGCUGCUUCUAAAACCAGUUUGUUUGUUGCUUGCAGCACAGUGCAGAUAAGAUAGAACCAAAGGUAAACAAGUUGACAAAGGGGCGAGGAAUACAGCUAACUAAAUAGUGAUGGAUUUGUCACUAUAGAAAGAUUAUGCAAGUUGCACUUGCCUGUGCUACCCUACUCUUUCCUAUUCUACUUGGCAAAUGUGUGAAGUGAAGCAACAAAGAAUUACAAGGACAAAAGCAACAUGAAAUAAAAAAUAUUUUAUAAAGGGAUAAGCUGCCUGACACCUUAAUCCUAUCACUACAUGAUCAAAAGCCAUUAAUAUUUAAGCAAAAAUAUAUCAAUGCAACUUUAUCCUGCUUUUACUGUUAAACUGAGAGUGUAAUCAACAAAGCUGACACUCAUUCCUUCCUUAUUAAUGACAGGAGGAUUGUAGUAUUAAGGCAUAUCCAGCAGAGGUCAUUCUCUCAUUAAGUGUUGUCUGUCUGUAUCCUGAAGUGGAGAAAAGCAGUGAAUAGGAGAUGAAGGUGAACCACAACACUUAACAGUGUUUCAGCUAUAACAAUGUAACAUAGAGCAGAUAAUUAUGUGAUCACAGGAUACAAAGUUUUAUCUUUGUAUCUUAAUUGUUGAAAAUCUUUCUCUUUUACAGUAAAUCUGACUUUGUUAGUUACUGUGCAGCAACAAGCAGUCACCGCCCCUGUUUGACACUGUUGACCUACGCAUGGAGAAAGAUUUCACACAAGUCACUGGGUUGCACACAUUCUUUCUUCUGGUAAGAGCCCCCCACCCCCCGCCGCCUUUCUGGGAUCCCACAUACCCAUUGAACUUUCCACCCACUCACCAAGGAAUGCAGAGCGAGGGAGGGGUAGGAGGGGGCUGUAAGAAGCCAAGAUGGGGGAUAUAAAGGGUCGAGUGGGACAGGGAACAGAAUGAAGAAAAGUGAAAAGA